GUCCACAUCGUCUAGUGGUAAGGAUAUCGUCCGCAUUAUGCUUUCUUAGCAUAGUUAUCUCGGGUUGCUUCUUCUUGCUUCGGCGUUUCGGAGUUUCUUGGGUUGCAUUGGCGAAGACGAAGGUUCGAUUCCUUCUGAGGACA